rnacentral:tRNA from 1 species
GCUGAUGUAGCUCAGUCGGUAGAGCAGCUGAUUCGUAAUCAGCAGGUCGGCGGUUCGAGUCCGCCUAUCAGCUCCA